UAUCUUUUUCUUCCUCAUUCUGAUGUUGGUUAUUUUAGUUGCAUUGCUUCCAUUUUUUUUUUUUACGCUGUAUGGCUCGCCUGUGGGUGGGUAAAAAAGUGUUAUAUGGAGGGGCAAGAGGCAUUUGAUACUUCUGUCUCCCCUUCCGGUCAUCAAGGAAGAACUCGAACAAGAGCUCAAAGGCAUUCUUCUUUUUGUUGGUUCAUAGUCCAUUCUGGUCUUGUUACUUUAUGUUUCGGAGUCAAUUGAUCCCUCGAUCAAGCUCUAACUAGAAAUAUCUUAAGAGAAGAAAAACAAUAAAUCGUUUGGAUUCGAGGCGAAACCCUUCUCCGCCGUUACGAAGUUCUUCUGCUCUCAUCUUCGAAAAGGAAGGCUAGAGUAAGGGGGGACUUAGUCUCGUUCCCAUAGUUGCCCCCCAGAAACUGGGUUUAGGAAUUGUCCACCUAAGCGCCCUGAAGAGCAGUGUCUCAAUUGCAGCGCACCAACUGAGAGAUACACUAAAUGUAUCAAAGCUCAAUCGAAAAAAAGAGCAAUCAAAACUAUUGAUUGCCUUACGUUACGCUCCCGGGACUCCUCGGCACAGGGAGUACGGGCCUUCAUCUCCAGGAGAAAAGCAUCGAGUGCGCGGGCGCAGCUUUCGACAAAACAAAUUCAUUCUCGAAGUUAUGGCGGAAUGCAGCAAAUCCCCGGCCGUGCUGGUUCUUCCCUCCACACGUUCUCAAACCGAUCGAUAAAGUGAAGUACCAGAGGAUUUUUCGGGAUUUAUCUUUCGGAAGAAAAAGAUUGAAAUGACUGUUCAAAAUUUCACCUGAGAUUCAAAAAAAAAAUUGGAUUUUCUUAUGAAAUGUUUUUUAUUAUUAGCGUUGAUAGCUCUCUUCUUUAAAGCUUAUGCCGUAGAAGCUGACAUCAGGCUAUUGGCGUUUUAUCUGCAUCUUCUCGACCAAGACCCGGAAGGGGUUCGCUUUGUUUGGGAUGAACUCGCAAGGACUCGACCCGAGGACUUCCCUCGUAGAGUGGCGUCUUUUAUAAAACUCUUUUCUCUCAGUGGAACUAAAAAAAAAGAGUUUGAGCUCUUUUGGCUUACUUUUAGCCACGCGGGGCGGCUAUCCGCAUGUGUCCCAAAGUGACGUCCAUUUUUUGGUAAUGGGUAUACUCGAGAGAAAAGUUUUGAAUUCAACCUCUCCGGGUCAUGGACUCCUUUUUUGUUUAGGACCCCCUUUCUACAUUCCAUUUUUUAUUGAGCCUGGUGUGGAAUCACCAUCAUUACACAUGAAUUCUUAGUAUGGCUGCUGGUCUAGCGAUCCCUCCUAGCCGCCGCCUAGAGUGCAGCCUGCCUGCUGAAGACCGUAACGUAAGUAACUCAGUGCUCCAUACGGGGGAAAUGAAAGCAGAAUUCGUUCGGAUCCUCCCACAUGUUCAAUCUUUUUUUAGCGGUUUUCCCAGAGAUCUUUAUCAUUAAUGCAACCUCCAUUUUGCUCAUUCAUGGAGUUGUAUUUAGUACCUCUAAGAAAUAUGAUUAUCCGCCGUUAGUCAGUAAUGUGGGUUGGCUUGGAUUACUUAGUGUUCUAAUAACCUUGCUUCUGCUCGCCGCUGGCGCACCUCUCCUAACUAUUGCCCAUUUAUUCUGGAAUAAUUUUUUUAGGAGGGACAAUUUUACAUAUUUCUGCCAAAUCCUUCUAUUAUUAAGUACGGCUGGUACCAUUUCGAUGUGUUUCGAUUUUUUCGAACAAGAGAGGUUUGAUGCUUUUGAAUUCAUUGUAUUAAUUCUACUUUCUACUUGCAGUAUGCUCUUUAUGAUCUCGGCUUAUGAUUUAAUUGCCAUGUAUUUAGCUAUUGAGCUUCAAAGUUUAUGUUUUUAUGUGAUCGCAGCAUCAAAAAGAAAGUCUGAAUUUUCCACGGAAGCCGGCUUGAAAUAUUUGAUCUUAGGUGCAUUUUCCUCUGGAAUAUUAUUGUUUGGGUACGACUGGACAACUACCGAUAUCUAUUAAUAUCUUUUCUUAGAAUGUUGUUGUUAAAUAUGUAUCUAUCUUUCUAUAUUGUAAACUAUCGGAUCGGGUAUUACUUAGAUGUGAAACUUGCAGACCUCAUUGGUUGUGAUAUUGAUCUUACGGGGGGAACGAAAUCAAAGAAUAUAUAGACUUGUAGAGACCCUCUAUGUAGUUGUCUAUCUAGGGCGAUCGAUCUACAUUUUUCCCCAUAGCCCUGGGGCUGUGUCUCGAUCUCCUACGUGCGAAAUCUGAGGGACUAGUUCCUAUGGAGAUUCCCCUUGGUCUAAUUCCACGCCUUAUGACGUAUUUGAUGGGAGGCUUGGCGUAAAGUGAAGAUUGAGGGAAGUAGAGAAAAAUUCCCUUCUGGGGUAUUCCGAAGGUGUAACCUAGGCAACGAAAAAUGGGCCCGAUACUUCAACUAGAGGAGCGACCAGUUGGUUCACCAAACCCCGACCCAGCGUCACACGUUUUCCAGGUCCGAAGGGAUCCAGUGCCCAACUACCGACUCCUCCCGGAAUUGCGUUAUCGGAGCCGAGCCAGGAAUGGCCAUUAGUGGACACCCACCACGGUUAGAGAGGCCCUCUUUAAUACAUUAAGAAAAGAUGUUCACAGGGGCCAGAAAGACUCGGUCAUAGGAACUUAGACCACCUACGCGCUGGUAAACGAAAACCACCUCGACCGGAUCAGAGUAAACAACAAUGUCGAAUCAGGCCGCCCCUUGCCUUGAAAGAAUUCACACGCGGCCACCAGCUUUCCAAAAAUAAGGGGAGAUCUGCUGCUUACUGCUCACGAAAACAUUCGACCUAUACAACUAGUCAAGUCGUCCGCGUAUCUUUCUGAUCUCCUUUCCUUCUAUUCAUCAGAUUUUUGGCUUUGGCCCAUUCAAAGUGAAAAAUGGGGUUGAUGAUGUUGGCUAAAAAAGGGGGAGAGAGGAGAGGUUUGGGGUACGCUCACUUCUGCAUUUUUGUUUAGGUUAUCGAAAUUAUCAAUCGCUCUUUUUAGUGGGGAG
rnacentral:misc_RNA from 1 species